AUGACGUCAAGUCAUCAUGCCCCUUAUGUCCAGGGCUUCACACAUGCUACAAUGGCCGGUACAAAGGGCUGCGAUGCCGCAAGGUUAAGCGAAUCCUUUUAAAGCCGGUCUCAGUUCGGAUUGGGGUCUGCAACUCGACCCCAUGAAGUCGGAGUCGCUAGUAAUCGCAGAUCAGCAACGCUGCGGUGAAUACGUUCCCGGGCCUUGUACACACCGCCCGUCACGUCAUGAAAGUCGGUAACACCCGAAGCCAGUGGCCUAACCCUUUGGGAGGGAGCUGUCGAAGGUGGGAUCGGCGAUUGGGACGAAGUCGUAACAAGGUAGCCGUACCGGAAGGUGCGGCUGGAUC
rnacentral:rRNA from 1 species